CCAAUUAGUAUCGAGUGGAUUCAUCCUUGACUAUUGAAGUUGGACCAAUAAAAAAAGGGAAUAUCACAUAUGACUAAAAACCAUGCUUAAAAAAAUGAAAAUUUGAAGGAAAGCUAAGAAACAUCUGGAAAAGACCAGUUUAACCGUUGGUAGUUAACUAUUAAAGUUUCCUUCGGCAGUUAACUGCCGCCGGUUUCAUCGUCAGUUAACUGUUGAUACGUCCUAAACUUAUACAUAAACUGCAACAUAACAAGAUCAGUUACAUAAAGUUACACAAAACCUCUCCAAUUUCAUUUUGACGAAAAUCAAGCAAAUCAUCUCAACAAAACCACAGAUAUUCUGAUCAGGAGCAAGGGCAGGGACUUAACCCAUAUAGGACCAGAGCUGGUAGGCUUGCCAUGACUAGAAACGUCAGGCGGGAAAGGGUUGCUACAAACCUUCAUAUCCCAAAUAGGGGAAGAGGCUGGAGGUCCAAUUACAAUGAUGGUGAAAGUAGUUCUCAUUCGAUACAGUCACAGGUGGAUGACCUCCUCUAGUACAUGAAUUAACAGGAUCAGCCACACAAUGUCACAGAUGGUGGUUAUGACGCCCAACAAUUUGGUGAUGUUGUUGAGGGUGAAGAUAAUCAACAGGGCGAGGAGGCGGUGUCUGAACAAGAUGAGGAUGACCUUGCGGCUGAGGCAACCCCAGAGCAAUUACCUAAAGUGCCUUACUUUCCUGGAGGGCCUGGGGAUUUAUAAGGCGUUGAAGGAGCUUUAUGAGGACCACAUCACUAUUGCUAUCAGAUUGUCAAAUGAACAAACGAUGGAGCUCAUACAGGAGAAGGAUACACGUAGGGAUGUUUGUGUGAGAAGUUUCCUCUUAUAUCUGCUUUGAUGUACGUUGUUUAGUGAUAAAAGCAACAAACAUGUCGAGUUAAUAUAUCUACAGAUGAUGGAGGACUUUGAUACGAUGAACCAGUACUCGUGGGGAAGGAUGGGAUUGGCACACCUUUACCACUGUCUAUCUGAGGUCUCUGUGCCUAAACGCAAAUCUCUUGGGGGAAGCACAAUACUUUUUAUGGGAUGGUUUUUGAUUGAUUUUCUUGGAGUUUACAUUGUUGAUGAUAAUGAGGACUAUCUCUUAAACUAUCAAAUCGCGGCUAAAUGGAUUCACAGAGGGGUAAUGGAGAGGUUAAGCCAUACCGUGUAGUACUUGAUCAUUUGAAGAUGAAUGAUGUAUGUUGGAGGUUGUACGAAGGACAUAGGGAGAUCCAGAAGUUUGAGGUGAUAUUCUAGUAUUCAGGCUGGAUCAUGUGCGGUGUUGAGAAGGUGUAAUGUCACUUGCCUGAGUGAGUUAAACAGAAGUACGAGUACAUGCAGGACAUCCCCAUACCUCCGACAUCUGUUCUUGCUAUACGAGAUAAUCAGAUUGUGCAGACUUUUCUCUAUAUUCGUGUUCACACCAUUCAUGAGGAUCAUUGGGGUCAGCCGACAAGAUAUAUGCCAUGGCGGUACGAGGACGAAUAUAUGCUAUGGUACGGACGAGUGUCUCACCCACAUAUUUUCCACCUAUCUAAGGCCAGAAAAUGAGGAGCAUAUAAUUACACACCACCAGCAGCAAGAGAGAAGCUCGCCUCACCUGAUACCUUUGAUAUGGUCAGUGGUGUUGUUCUCCAGGCUGAUGAUAAUUUGGGUCAUGAGGAGAUGAGUAGUUAGAAAUUGUAUCAGGCCUUGCACGAUGUUGGGGAAACGUUGGAACCCAUAUUGACCAGGAGGCGUAGGAGGCCUGGAAGGCAGCAUGCCGAGCAGGAGUAUGAGAGGUUGAUGUUUAGGACUGAUGUGUAGUACUUGUUUUCAGUUUUUGUGACAUUUGUUGUGUUGCUGUUAUUUUCAUGACAUUUGUUAGUUUCUUUGUAUUGAUUACAUAUUAUCUUAUUUUGAAUUUAAAUGAUGUUGGU